rnacentral:rRNA from 1 species
UAGGGAAUCUUCCACAAUGGACGCAAGUCUGAUGGAGCAACGCCGCGUGAGUGAAGAAGGUUUUCGGAUCGUAAAGCUCUGUUGUUGGUGAAGAAGGAUAGAGGUAGUAACUGGCCUUUAUUUGACGGUAAUCAACCAGAAAGUCACGGCUAACUACGUGCCAGCAGCCGCGUUAAUACGUAGGUGGCAAGCGUUGUCCGGAUUUAUUGGGCGUAAAGCGAGCGCAGGCGGAAGAAUAAGUCUGAUGUGAAAGCCCUCGGCUUAACCGAGGAACUGCAUCGAAAUCUGUUUUUCUUGAGUGCAGAAGAUGAGAGUGGAAUUCCAUGUGUAGCGGUGGAAUGCGUAGAUAAAUGACAGAUCACCAGUGGCGAAGGCGACUCUCUGGUCUGCAACUGACGCUGAGGCUCGAAAGCAUGGGUAGCGAACAGG